UACAGAGGUCUCAAGCGUUGUUCGGAUUCAUUGGGCGUAAAGGGCGCGUAGGCGGCGAGGUAAGUCGGGUGUGAAAUCUCAGAGCUCAACUCUGAAACUGCACUCGAUACUGCUUUGCUAGAGGACUGGAGAGGAGAUUGGAAUUCACGGUGUAGCAGUGAAAUGCGUAGAUAUCGGAAGGAACACCAGUGGCGAAAGCGGCUUCCUGGUCCAGCACCGACGUUCAGGCACGAAAGCGUGGGGAGCAAACAGG
rnacentral:rRNA from 1 species